GGGGAUGACCGGUUUUGACAGCGUGUAGAGGGGGCGCGUAAGCAUGCAGAGCGAUGAUGGCUAUGCUCUUUAAUCUCAGACAUCAAAAAAUUUAACUGGCGAAAAUAACUACGCUCUCGCUGCCUAAUUGAAGUACAGUAGAUUAGCUUAAUUUCCACCACAGUGGCGGAAACGAGACAUCACCCGAUUGCCUUGCCUUGAGACGUUUCGAUAAGGUGGUGCUUGGAAAUUCAAGGAUAGGGAUAGCUCCGCUCCGUGGCUUGACCGAAAUUUUAGGAGAUAAGCUGCGGGUUGGCGGCUUCAUGCCUGCCCACAGACGACAACCAACUUGAAGAUAAGCAUGUAGAAAGCGUGUUCGUUCCGCGUUUGGACGAGAGUUCGAAUCUCUCCAUCUCCACC
rnacentral:tmRNA from 1 species